rnacentral:rRNA from 1 species
AGAAAGCGUAACAAGGUUUCCGUAGGUGAACCUGCGGAAGGAUCAUUA